AACACGUGGGGAACCUGCCCCAUAGCCUGGGAUACCACUUGGAAACAGGUGCUAAUACCGGAUAAGAAAGCGGAUCGCAUGAUCAGCUUUUAAAAGGCGGCGUAAGCUGUCGCUAUGGGAUGGCCCCGCGGUGCAUUAGCUAGUUGGUAAGGUAAGGGCUUACCAAGGCGAUGAUGCAUAGCCGAGUUGAGAGACUGAUCGGCCACAUUGGGACUGAGACACGGCCCAAACUCCUACGGGAGGCAGCAGGU
rnacentral:rRNA from 1 species